rnacentral:sRNA from 1 species
CUUCCUCGAUCUGCUGCGGGCAGAUGUAGUGGAUAUGGGCGUCCAUGCCGCCCGCCGUGAGGAUCUUGCCCUCACCUGCAAUCACCUCGGUCGAGGGGCCGACAAUGAUGGUGACGCCAGGCUGCGUAUCAGGAUUGCCCGCCUUGCCGACCGCAGCGAUGCGACCGUUCUUGAGGCCCACAUCGGCCUUGAAGAUACCGGUGUGGUCGAUGACCAGCGCAUUGGUGAUGACCGUGUCGACGGCCCCCUCGGCUCGCGUUGCCUGGCUCUGGCCCAUACCGUCGCGGAUG